CCUUAAGUGGAUACCAGAUGGUAUGCAGGGUUGUCAGAUAAAAAAAUCAAAUACCGCUACAUUGACAACAACACUUAAGUAAACUGCAUCUUUUAUUGUCGACAUGUUUCGCCGAUUAGAUCGGCUUCAUCAGGACAAUUAAAGGAUACAAAAUUAGAACCGCUGAAGUACAAAAAAAUGGUAUCAUGUAUGUGACGUCAUAAUUGUCCAUUGUUGACGUUGCUAUGGGAUACUCUAUAUCAUU
rnacentral:lncRNA from 1 species